UACGAAGGGGGCUAGCGUUGCUCGGAAUUACUGGGCGUAAAGGGCGCGUAGGCGGAUACUUAAGUCGGGGGUGAAAGCCCGGGGCUCAACCCCGGAAUUGCCUUCGAUACUGGGUAUCUUGAGUUCGGGAGAGGUGAGUGGAAUGCCGAGUGUAGAGGUGAAAUUCGUAGAUAUUCGGCGGAACACCAGUGGCGAAGGCGACUCACUGGCCCGAUACUGACGCUGAUGCGCGAAAGCGUGGGGAGCAAACAGG
rnacentral:rRNA from 1 species